ACUCCUACGGGAGCAGCAGUGGGGAAUAUUGCACAAUGGGGGAAACCCUGAUGCAGCCAUGCCGCGUGUGUGAAGAAGGCCUUCGGGUUGUAAAGCACUUUCAGUAGGGAGGAAGGUAGUGUAGUUAACACCUGCAUUAUUUGACGUUACCUACAGAAGAAGCACCGGCUAACUCCGUGCCAGCAGCCGCGGUAAUACGGAGGGUGCGAGCGUUAAUCGGAAUUACUGGGCGUAAAGCGCAUGCAGGCGGCCUGUUAAGUCAGAUGUGAAAGCCCGGGGCUUAACCUCGGAAUUGCAUUUGAAACUGGCAGGCUAGAGUCUUGUAGAGGGGGGUAGAAUUUCAGGUGUAGCGGUGAAAUGCGUAGAGAUCUGAAGGAAUACCAGUGGCGAAGGCGGCCCCCUGGACAAAGACUGACGCUCAGAUGCGAAAGCGUGGGGAGCAAACAGGAUUAGAUACCCUGGUAGGAUAGAG
rnacentral:rRNA from 1 species